rnacentral:rRNA from 1 species
UACGAAGGGGGCUAGCGUUGCUCGGAAUUACUGGGCGUAAAGGGAGCGUAGGCGGAUAGUUAAGUCAGAGGUGAAAGCCCAGGGCUCAACCUUGGAAUUGCCUUUGAUACUGGCUAUCUUGAGUAUGGGAGAGGUUAGCGGAACUCCGAGUGUAGAGGUGAAAUUCGUAGAUAUUCGGAAGAACACCAGUGGCGAAGGCGGCUAACUGGCCCAUUACUGACGCUGAGGCUCGAAAGCGUGGGGAGCAAACAGG